rnacentral:misc_RNA from 1 species
GAUGUUGGAUAUAUGUUUCGAGCCUCGAUUCCCUCCCCUCGCGGUCUGCAUCCACCGCGCCUCGGCGAUGGGACGCUCCACGGUUGCCCGUUUUUUCGGUCUUCCCUGGGGACCUUCGCCGGGCAAGACGGAUGAGGCGGUGCACCACCGAUUCUCGGCACCAGGACGUUGUGGCUAUCCUAAUUGGAAGGUCGCAUCAUCCUAAUGCCGGAAGAGGCGGUCGUGUCGUGACAACCGGCCUGAGAAUGAAACGGUGGGSGAAUGUCUGCCUUAUUGUUAUCGCGUUGGGUUUGUUGGAUAUGGAAAUCACGGUGUGCCCACCRUGUCAUCGGCUAGAAGCUGUCUGGCUGCUGCAAGGCUGCCAGUUCUUCCACGUCGUUGGCGAAUGGGUGCAAAUUGUCGGAUACGGGAAUCACGGUGCGCCCACCGUGUCACCGGCGAGGAGCAUUCUGGCGGCCGGAAGGCUGCUGGUUCUUCCACGUCGUUGGCGAAUGGGUGCAACAAUAUGGGAUAUAGUGCCUGUUCUCGCGCUCUGUGGACUUUCGGUCGUCGUCUUCAUAGCAGACCCGUUGUGCUAAGC